AUGAAUUAAUGUUCCAUGAUCCUCUCAAAAUUAUUUUAUCGAUGCUCUCAAAAUUAUUUUAUCUGGGAAUCUAAAAAGGAAUAACUGGCUAACUAAUCCCAUACACAACGUGGACUGGUGGCCGGACAAGAGACCAUAGUUCGCCAUAUAAUUAACUCUCCUGUUUAUCGGGGGAUAAAAUAAUGUACAAAACCAUAUUGUUGCUUUGAAGUAAAAAAAUGUUGAAUACUGUUUAAAACGUACAAUUCUCAAAUUAUUUUCAAAGUAACUUAAAUAUCAUGGUAAAGUUACAAUGACGAAUACAUCUAUUUUUUCCCUAUUUUGUUUAUUUUUUAUAAAAAAAUUCUAUUUUCUGCAAUUUGGAGCUACCGUAAACAGCCCGCCAUUAGAUGAACGUCGAAAACAAAACAGGGCAACAAAUGACGUAUGGGACAGAUUGUUUUGUAAUCGAAGCACGUGAUUUGCAUUGUUGACCAAUCGGUGAUCGUCAUUCCAAAACCACGACUUGUUCUGUUUGUUUCUUUAUUAUAUUUGCCUUCUUCUCACCCUGACACGUUGGCCAAAAAAGCGAGACCGACGAGCAUUCGAAUCAGGGGCAGCGAGGACGAAGUUGGCUUAGUGUUAGUAGAGCGUUUACGGACAGAUUGAGUUUAGGUUUAGACAUCGUUGGUCAUCCGAGUUCAAGUAUUAUUGAGGAUCGCUGCGAUACUUCGAAAACGCUGGCGGUAGCAAUGUUUAUAUGAACAGGAAUUAGUCUCAGAUGAUAUUACUUUUGCGUUUUCUUUUACUCAUUUUAUCUCUUACUCCUAUUGUUUUGAACUUUUAUUCAUGUUUACUAUAUCGCUGUUAAUUUUGCAGUGUCUGUACCCCUUAUUCAAUAUUGUUUUUAUAUAUGUGUGCGAUAUUCAAUAUUGUGGAUUGCUACCUUAUUUUAUGUGCUAUCAUUCGAUAAUAGACUUUUAUUCCUGCCUGAUUAGCUAUAAAUCUGCUGUUUUGUUUACAUUUUUAAAGGACCUGCAACGUGAAAGGGAUGAUUUAAAAACGCCUCCACUCCAAAUCGAUUUUGUUGUACUAUUGGAGAACUCAGGUGUUGGCGGGGUUGUUUUUUGCCGGGGACUAUGUACAAAAGAUGCUAAUAAUUUCAGAAAUAUUGAUGAGCAGUAGAGAAAUGGAAAUUUUUUUAUGCUUUAGAGAUUGAACCUUAAAUCGCAUGUUUAUCAGCAAGUACGUCACGUCUCAACGAAAAUACGGAAUUCAAGAAUGGGGGUGCGACAAUCGUUAAUUUCGAAGGAAUGCGAAAUAGAGUGGCAUUUGUUCAAGGGAAUAAGAAUUUGCUUUUCAUUCAAUCAAGUCCUCGAACAAAAACUUAUUGCAUUGCGAAGCAUGUGAGCAGCGUUUCCUCCGUGGGUGUCUCGGAACAAAGAUACGUAAAAGUUUUAUCUGUAUCAAUAUCAAAUUUAAUUUAAUUUUAGCUUUUGAGGUAGUAUAUUAUACAGACGACCACGAGAAUGCGAUGUUUUGUUUGUUUCAGGCAUAAGAAGGGUGAAACAAAGAUCUUAAAUACAUCAUUCAAAGCAAGCGGGAAGCGUGUUAGAAAAGCAAGGUGCAAUAUUUCGAUAUUCUGAAUAAAACUAAAGUACCUAAGAACAAAGAGUCUAAAAACCAGUUUCUUAAGGCAUGUAAAAACUGUUCCGAAGGGCAAUAGAUAGCACAGUGGAAACGACGGCAAAAAAAUAACUGAAACUUAUGCUGAUAUAUAUUCUGAACAGCUGAACAAAAUAGAAGAAGAAAGAAUGUGUAAAGUCUGUUUCAGUAAUCCUGCUGAUAUGGUUUUGCUACCCUGUCGUCAUUUACUUUGCUGUUUGGAUUGUACACAGAGGAUCAAAGAAGGCAAUCGGAAAUGCCCUUUUUGUCGUAGGGGGAUUCCCAAUACAGUAAGAAUUUUCAGGUGUUGAAUUAAGGUACACACCGAAACAGUAUACUGAAGAAAAGCACUGUGUCGAAUAUAUUAAAUAAAGUUUUAAUUGAAUUCUAUUCUUCUUUCUUAAUAUGUUAUUGUACAACUCUGAUAUCUUCGCUUUCUGUACUUUUAAAGAACUGGGCUUCAUUCUCCUGGCUGGUCUGACCCAUUACCCUUGUAAAAUUCAUCAAAGCCAUGUUAGAGUUCCUGCUUCAAGUGAAUGACUUUAUAGUUUUAUUCAAAUAAAGCACAAAUAUGUGCGAAAAGUUUUGAAUCUAGCUCUAUCACACCCGAGUUUUGUAUCAAGGUGCGACCGAAAAUGAGUAUUGUAUUUCAUCGGUAGGGCCCAAACUGAAUACUUAACUAUUCAGAAUACGUCCUGAAAGCAUAUUUUCAAAUAUGGAAUAUAUUCUAAACUAGGAACAUCUUUAUUCAAAAAUUACAAUAUUCUGUAUAUAUUUCGUUUCAUCAUAUUUGAAAUGGCACAAAUAUUAGGAUCAUUGUUUUCACAUUUCAUUUGCAUGCAUUUGAUGAACAUAUGCUUUGCCCUGCUUGGUUGAUGCCAAAUUUACGUCUCAAAAUCGACA